ensembl:lncRNA
AAGGUGGCUCCCCUUCCCGUUCGGGUGGCGCUCUGCGGUUGUCGUCACCGGUCUACUAGCUGCUACCGAUCCCUUUUCCCCUUUUCGUUUUGUUUGGUCUAAUUGGUUUCACCUGUUCCUUGUUUGGGGUUUUGGGUUGGGGUUAUUUAAGUUCAGUUAGCCCACCUGUGUUCGUGCGGGCUUGUUUGCUGUUUUUGGUUCAGGAGUGUCCUGUCAUUGAUUUUCCGCUGUACAGCGUAUGUACCGGUGUUAUACAUUUUGGAAUGUUUUACGCCUGUGUUCGGCGUUACCCUCUUUUGUUUGCUGUGAUUGUUGCGGAAUAAAUGUUUUUUCUGAAUCCUCUGCUCUAUGUCCCUGACUCCACAUCCAUCACUCUUCGAAGCCUAACAGAAGUCCGCACCAUCAACUGUGGAGUCAGCAGGAGCAGCAACCACCCCUCUCCCAACGAUGGAGAACCGUGUCCUUCAUCAUACGUCCAUCCUCCAUAGCAUCGGAUCGGCGAUGGAUCAGAUGAUGGAGAAGAUGGACCAGUGGGAGAGGAGUGGUCUCCCUACUUCCCCUCCAACCCCCCCACCUACAACGCUACAACCUCCUCCAGCGGUAUCCGGAAACCAGCGCACUGCGUAUUGCGCCUCCGAGGGAGUACGAUGGAGCGGCGGCGGAGUGCCAGGGAUUCUUGCUCCAACUCAAGCUUUACCUGGCCACCGUUUGGCCGACUCCCUCGAACGAGGAGAGCGUGAGUGUCCUCGUCUCUUGUUUGACGGGUAGAGCCCUGGAGUGGGCCAAUGCCGUCUGGAUCGGGCCCGACUCGGCGAGGGGCCACUACCCGGGUGAGGGAUUGUUCCAUCUCAGGCAGGAGACGAGGAGCGCGCAGGACUUCGCACUGGAGUUCCGGACCUUGGCCGCUGGGGCGGGGUGGAACGACAGGGCCCUAAUAGACCAUUACAGGUGUAGCCUGAGAAAGGACGUCCACAGGGAGCUGGCUUGUCGGGACACCACGCUCAUCCUGGACGAGCUCAUAGACCUGUCAUUCAGGCUGGACAAUCUGCUGGCUGCUCGCGGACGUUCUGAAAGGGUCCUGUCUCUUCCACCUCCUGGCCCUCCCGCUCCCAUACCAAUGGAGUUAGGGGGGGCCGCAUCUAGGGGGACCGGAGGAGGAGGCUCCUCCUGCACCAGCUGUUGCCGGAGAGGACACACUUCCGGUCGGUGCUGGAGGAGUCCAUCUGGGAGUCGAGAGGGCAGGCAGAAUACUUCUCGGUCACCCCAGGACCUGAGCCCUAGGACCAUGCCCCAGGACUACCUGACAUGAUGACUCCUUGCUGUCCCCAGUCCACCUGACCGUGCUGCUGCUCCAGUUUCAACUGUUCUGCCUUAUUAUUAUUCGACCAUGCUGGUCAUUUAUGAACAUUUGAACAUCUUAGCCAUGUUCUGUUAUAAUCUCCAUCCGGCACAGCCAGAAGAGGACUGGCCACCCCACAUAGCCUGGUUCCUCUCUAGGUUUCUUCCUAGAUUUUGGCCUUUCUAGGGAGUUUUACAAAACUUUACAGUUGGCACUAUGCAUUGGAGCAGGUAGCAUUCUCCUGGCAUCCGCCAAACCCAGAUUCAUCCAUCGCACUGCUAGAUGGUGAAGAGUGAUUCAUCACUCCAGAGAACGCGUUUCCACUGUUCCAGAGGCCAAUGGCGGAGAGCUUUACAACACUCCAGCCGACGCUUGGCAUUGCGUAUGAUGAUGUUAGCCUUGUGUGCGGCUGCUCCGCCAUGGAAACCCAUUUCAUGAAGCUCCCGACGAACAGUUCUUGUGCUGAAGUUGCUUCAAGAGGCAGUUUGGAACUCGGUAGUUAGUGUUGCAACCGAGGACAGACAAUUUUUUUUGCCGGCUACGCACUUCAGCACUCAGCGGUCCCAUUCUGUCAGCUGGUGUGGCCUACGACUUUACUGCUGAGCCGAUGUUGCUCCUAGACGUUUCCACUUCACAAUAACAGCACUAACAGUUGACUGGGGCAGCUCUAGCAGGGCAUACAUUUGGCAAACUGACUUGUUGGAAAGGUGGCAUCCAAUGACUUUGAAAUUCACAGGCCAUUCUUCUGCCAAUGUUUGCCAAUUGAGAUUGCAGGUCUGUGUGCCCGAUUUUAUACACCUGUCAGCAAUGGGUGUGGCUGAAAUUGCCAAAUUUCCUAAUUUGAAUGGGGUUCCAUAAACUUUUGUCCAUGUAGUGUAUUACAAGGUACUGUAUGUACUGACAUACACUGAGUGUACAAAACAUUAGGAACACCUGCUCUUUCCAUGACAUAGACUGAUCAGGUGAAAACUAUGAUCCCUUAUUGAUGUCACCUGUUAAUCCACUUUAAUCAGCGUAGCUGAUGGGAGGAGACAGGUGAAAUAAUCAUUUUUAAGCUUUGAGACAAUUGAGACAUGGAUUGUUUAUGUGUGCCAUUCAGGGGGUGAGUGGGCAAGAAAAAAUAUUUAAGCGCUUUUAAAUGGGGUAUGGUAGUAGGUGCCAAGCACACCGGUUUGAGUGUGUCAAGAACUGCAACGCUGCUGGGUUUUUCACGCUCAACAGUUUCCUGUGUGUGAUCCACCACCCAAAGGACAACCAGCCAACUUGACACAACUGUGGGAAGCAUUAGUCCAGAGUCAAAAUGGGCCAGCAUCCCCAUGGAACACUUUUGAAACCUUGCAGAGUUCAUGCCCUGACAAAUUGUGGCUGUUCUGAGGGCAAAAGGUGUUCCUAAUAUUUGGUAUACUCAGUGUAUAUGGAAGUUGUUUAGACCAGGGAGGUUUUCCAAUGCCUUGCAAAGUAGGGCACCUAUAGGUAGAUGGGAUUUUUUUUUUUAAUAGACAUUGAAUAUCCCUUUGAGCAUAGUGAAGUUAUUAAUUACACUUUGGAUGGUGUAUCAAUACACCCAGUCACUACAAAGAUACAGGCAUCCUUCCUAACUCAGUUGCCAGAGGGGAAGGAAACCACUCAGGUAUUUCACAAUGAGGCCAAUGGUGACUUUAAAACAGUCACAGAGUUUAAUGGCGGUGGUGAGAGAAAACUAAGGAUGGGUCAACAACAUUGUAGUUACUCCUCAAUACUAACCUAAUUGACAGAGUGAAAAGAAGAAAGCCUGUACAGAAUAAAAAAUAUUUCCAAACAUACAUCAUUUUUGUAACAAGCCAGUAAAGUCAUACUGAAACAAAAUUGGCAAAGCAAUUCCCUUUUUCUCCUGAAUGCAAAGUGUUAUGUCUGGGGCAAAUCCAGUACAACACAUUACUUAGUACCAGUCUCCAUAUUUUCAAGCAUAGUGGUGGCUGCAUCAUGUUAUGGGUAUGUUUGUAAUCAUUAAGGACUGAGGAGUUUUUCAGGAUAAAAAAUAAACGUAAUGGAGCUAAGAACAGUCAAAAUCCUAGAGGAAAAUAUGGUUCAGUCUGCUUUUCAACAGACACUGGGAGAUGAAUUCACCUUUCAGUAGGACAAUAACCUGAAACACAAGGCUAAAUCUACACUGGAGUUGCUUACCAAGAAGACAGUGAAUGUUUCUGAGUAACCGAGUAACAGUUAUGACUUAAAUCUACUUGAAAAUGUAUGGCAAGACCUGAAAAUGGUUGUCUAGCGAUGAUGAUCAUCAACAAAUUUGACAGAGCUUGAAGAAUAAUUGGAAAAUGUUGCACAAUCCGGUCUGGAAAGCUCUUAGAGACGUACCCAGAAAGACAGCUGUAAUCGCUGCCAAAAGUGCGUCUACAAAGUUUUGACUCAAUGGUGUGAAUACUUAUGUAAAUGGAAUAUUUCCGUAUUUAGUUUUUAAAUACAUUUGCUAAAAUGUAUAAAAACAUGUUUUCUUUUUGUCAUUAUGGGGUACUGUGUGUAGAUGGGUAAAAAAAGCAAACAAUUGGAUCCAUUUUGAAUUCAGGAUGUAACACAACAAAAUGUGGUAUAAGUCAAGGGAUGAAUACUUUCUGAAGGCGCUGUAUGUAUCUCUAGUGUCAUGACGUUGGCCUCUUUGGGUAUAGCAACCCCAUCCCCCUCUCCCUGCCUCCCCCCCUUGCCUCCUUCAACUAGGCUGCUGUGGUCAGAGGUCGUAAAUUCCUGAGAAGAACCUGCCACAUGGCCACAUAGUAGAGAGAGGGUACACUUUCAUAGAGGGCAAAGGAAAUCCUUCCACCUCACAGAACUUGAGGUACAAACACAUUUCAUGUUCCGGAGAAAGUGUAAAAGAUCGGUGAAGAAUCCAGCUACGAACUGGUCCGUUUGUCACAACUUGGGGAAGCUCAUGGGAGACGGUGUGGCCACAUUACCAUAACGCUGUUUAUAUAAUAGCCUCAGAUAUGAGGUUUACAUCUAAUUGUUGUAUAAGAUGAAUGAGUGAGUAUGAUACUGUUUGUAUAAUUGUGUAAUAUGAUUGUGGACUGUUUAAUGAAGAAAAAUACAAUUCCCUUUUGAUUUGAACUAAAUCAGAGGACCGCUCGACAGAAUAAGAACAAGUCUUUGAUACUAAUUACUAGUCUGCAGUUAGGAAUUCGGUAUCAUUCAACGCGAACAACGACAUCAUCCAUUCUAUAACGAAUGUCACUUUGAACUAUCCCCUCUAACCAAGACAGAGAGAGGGAGAGAGACGGACAAUUCUACGAAAGACACAAACUUUUCACCAGCGACCAAGACGACACACUGAGCGUAAAUAUAUGUAUUGAUUGCAAUUGUUCCCGAAUGAAUGAGCGUUCAUGUGUAAAGGAUUCGUAUUUUAAUUGUUGUAAUUAUCACUCUGUAGUGACUUAUUAGUCGACCCCUACUUCCCCUUUUUGUCUAACAAGCCGCCAUGCCGGUUUAGCCCACUAGGGCGCAUUUUCCUAUCAUUACAUUUACCUUGUUUGUUUGUUUGUUUAUGCAUUUCUGUGAAUGACUUAGUAAUAAAUAAAUGAUUUAAGACAAUUGAUGUAUGGAUGACUCAUAGUGAAGACUGGGGUCGUGCAGAUAACCAACAAUUUCGACGUUUGGAAUGAGACUAACGUGAGGUACAG